UACGUAGGGGGCAAGCGUUGUCCGGAGUUACUGGGCGUAAAGCGCACGCAGGCGGUCGAUUAAGUUUGGAGUGACAGUUGGUGGCUUAACUGCCAAAGUGCUUCGAAAACUGAUCGACUUGAGGGCUUCAGAGGGACACGGAAUUCCGGGUGGAGUGGUGAAAUGCGUAGAGAUCCGGAGGAACGCCGAAGGCGAAGGCAGUGUCCUGGGGAGUACCUGACGCUCAGGUGCGAAAGCCAGGGGAGCGAACGGG
rnacentral:rRNA from 1 species